CCUACGGGAGGCUGCAGUAGGGAAUCUUCCACAAUGGGCGAAAGCCUGAUGGAGCAACGCCGCGUGGGUGAAGAAGGUCUUCGGAUCGUACAACUCUGUUGGUAGGGAAGAAAGUGCGUGAGAGUAACUGUUCACGUUUCGACGGUAUCUAAACAGAAAGCCACGGCUAACUACGUGACAGCAGCCGCGGUAAUACGUAGGUGGCAAGCGUUAUCCGGAUUGAUUGGGCGGAAAGGGAACGCAGGCGGUCUUAUAAGUAUGAUGUGAAAGACUUGGGCUUAACCGGGGUAGUGCCUUUAAUACUGUUGAACUAGAGUGUAGAUGCGGAAGGCGGAAUG
rnacentral:rRNA from 1 species